CAACAGCUCUGGACAAAGAUAAAUAUUCUGCAAAAAUGGUGGACCAUAAUCAUACAUAUGCAUGGCCUGAAAAAGCAAGGAUUGUUACUUCUGAGAACUCUUUUUCAUGGUGGUUUCUGUCUCUUAGGAUGCCUUGAUCUGUAGGAUUGUAAAACAAUUGACCUUUGGCACCAUCACACCAUUGAUUAUUUAAGUGACUUUGAAGGAACAACACCGACAAGAGUCCUUAAGAGAUCUGGCUUGGCUUCACUGAGUUGUUCAAUGAUGAAAGAUCAUUAAGUGAGCCCUGUGCAUCUGGAAAACGGUGAUAAUUACCCCUCAACCCACACAUCAUUUAGUGUUCUAGAAAACUGUUUCCUGCAAAGAACCAUCAUUGUCAAAGUGAUAAGACUCAUAGAAGUCCCUUGCUGACCUAUGACCAAAUCAAAGAUCCUCGAAAUUUCCAUUCUUUAGCUUAUAACAGGUUAGCUGAACUCUUCAUCUCCAUCAAUUAACUUAGCUUAAACAAACUGUAGUCAGGUUGUCUACUACCAGUCUCUGACCUGUGACUUGUCCCUGAGAUUAAACAAGUAUCUACUGCAAGCAAUCUUCUAAGCAACCUCUCCUAACAAGUGACUGACUGCAAAGAAAAACAUUCACUGAGCAACUUUCCUAUCAUGUCACCUGUUCAUUGUACUUCCAAUUUUCUGUCUGACCUUUGAGGUGCUUAUGUGUCUUAUAGAGGAUCUUAUGGUCAGAUUAUUCUCCCUGUUGCAAUAGUCUUCUUAAAUAAAAUCUUUCCUUGCCUACACCUGAUUGGUUUUUAUUGGUAGCACAAAGUAUGCAAACACCAAUAUUUUACAUUAAUGUUCACUAUAGGAUGGUACUUGGAAAAAAUAAAGUUACUUUUUUCAUUAUUUUAUUAUUGAGGUUUAACAUCUGAGUUACCCCAAAAGAGUGAUGAACCUACCCCAAUUUGUCUGAGACUUUGUCAGUUUAAACACUGAAAGUCCUGCGUCUCAUGGUAUACCUUUGUCCCAGGAAAAAUGGGAUUCAAAACUGACUCUUGAAUCCCAGAAGUAUUACAGUCUCAGGCAAGUUACAACAAUUUGUCAACCAUUCAGAGUACUGGCCAAAAGUUAAAAAAACAAAAUCUAGAACGGAUGGUGGAGAUGGGACGUGAUGAACAUAAUUGAUAAAUUUAGAUCAGUUUUAGCAGCAUGGACUGUAUCCUGAUUUAUUAACUCCUUUAAGUGAUUCAAAGGAUAUAUCCAUCUUUAAAGAUUAGACCUGAAAAUUCUCUCUUGGAGGAAAAGUAAGGAGGUAGAUCCUAGUUUUAUAAUAAUUUUACAGAUGUGAUAGUGAGACUAAGAGAGAUUAUGUAUCUUGUCGAGGACCACAAAACUAAAUAAAGAUUUAAUUAUAGUCUCCCUGAUUUUCAGU